rnacentral:rRNA from 1 species
AAUGAACGUUGGCGGCGUGGAUUAGGCAUGCAAGUCGAGCGAGAAUCCCGGCUUGCCGGGAGGACAGCGGCGCAAGGGACAGUAAUGUGUAGAUUAUCUGCCCUCGGGUCCGGGAUAGCCGCGGGAAACUGCGGGUAAUACCGGAUGACAUCUCCGGAUCAAAGGUGUGAUUCCGCCCGAGGAUGAGUCUACAUCCUAUUAGCUUGUUGGCAGGGUAAUGGCCUACCAAGGCGAUGAUGGGUAGCGGGUGUGAGAGCACGACCCGCGUCAUUGGGACUGAGACACUGCCCAGACACCUACGGGUGGCUGCAGUCGAGAAUCUUCGGCAAUGGGCGCAAGCCUGACCGAGCGACGCCGCGUGUGGGAUGAAGGCCUCGGUUGUAA